AGCCUCUGGGCCUUCAGCAGGUCUGCGGUGGGGGGGUCCUGCAGCGGGAGGUAGCCGUCAGCCGGGUACGUGGCGCCCUCUCAGGGAGACGGCGAGGAAGGAUAUCUGAGCGGCCGGCUGCCGAAGUUAAACGCCACCGACUCUUUGAAGGAGAGGCUGAUGGCCGGGAAGUAGGCCACGCCGGGACCCGUCUUGAUGCUGCUGAAGGCCGUCCCCAGAGACUGGCCGUUCCUGGAGACACGGGGAGAGAAGACACAGCGCAGGUUUUCUAUGAAGAUGUGAUGGCAGAAAAACAGCAAAAUGAUGGAAAAAUCCAUGACGCCAAUAAACCGGGUGGAUUCUGAGGCGAAGCUUCAACUUGAGCAGACGGUUCUGAUGGAUGAAAUCAGCAGUUUUAUGUUUCAUGAAUAUGUCCAACAAGAAAACCACAAACUUAUAUUUAUUUAGUCUGUUUAACACUAAAAAUAUUAUAAAAUAUAAUAAAUUCAACAAAAACAUUUGGACCGUCACGUUACAGGGAGACAGUGGAAACCCAGAGGUUCUGACCCGAACCUCGAGGUUCUGACCCGAACCCCGAGGUUCUGACCCGAACCCCGAGGUUCUGACCCGAACCUAGAGGUUCUGACCCGAAC